UCAUCAUUUCUGUCAACAGCUAAAACAGAAAAAAAAACUUUUUUUAAGAAAAAAAAUUUUUUUAACCACAUCUUUGAGGUGUAUAAUCCUGUGGCCAUUAUAUAAAGUCUCUAAACUUAAUUACUUUAAUUUUAAAUGAGAAAAUAUAAGUAUCUAUUUUAAGAAUUGAUGCAAUAUAAUACAUACAGAAUGAUGAGUAACUCUUGUCUCAUUGUAAGUGGCCUGAAAUGUCAGCUAUUAUCAUUAAUGACUCCUCCUCUGGAGCCUUCCAAAACAAUGCUUUAAGGAGCUCAACUGAAUCAUUAUGCCCCAAAAUCAAUUUAUGAUUAUUUUCAAAGCAGGUCUGCCUCUGUCCCUCUGUCCUUCCGUGACUAACUUUCAUGUUACACUUCCUCCCCAACAAUUGUGUCCAACGCAGGUGGACUUAGCUCUCAGGUCCCGACCUGGAGGCUCCCAGGGGGUUUUGCCCCACAGGUUUCCUGGUUGGCCCCAGAGAUGUCCCUGAGAAGGCGCUGCCAGGCAGGACUCCUAGCCCUGCUCCUCUUUAAGUUCAAGUGCCUGGGCUUCCACUCGGAGAGAAGCUUAGGAAGGAAUGCUCUUUUCCAAUAAAAGCUGGAAAAGGCACAGAGGACAUGCUACCAUGUGUGCUUAAGGACAUGGCCUUUAGAGUUUGAAUGACAUGGAUGGAGGAAAUGGGGUUUCCAUUUUCCUGCUGUAUCUGCAAGAACAAGUUAUUAGCCAGUCUUAAUGGCCUCUCACAGAAAAGCAUCAAGAACUGGUCAGUAGUGGGCAGAGAAACGGCACCAACUAGCAGGAGGGCGGUGACCGCUGCCCACGGAGGGGGAGGCACGCGUCCCUUCCCCGCGCCCCUGCCCGCCAGAAGAGCUGACCUUCGAGGAGGACAAGGGGCCAUGCUCAGAGCCGGGCCGUGACGGCCUCCUCACCGCCGAUAAGGGAAGAGACGACAUUAAACCGAGUCUGAGAUGGAGCUUUUAAAACGGGCUGGCCUCUCAAGGAUUGAAAAUCUAGAAGCAGCCCCUUCUGUGUCAUGACAGACUACAAUGAGAAUACUGAGGUCCGCAGGUGUCAUGGCUUCCUGAAGCAAUACAGAGACCAGACUGUGGUUUUCAUUCACUCCUGUCCUGCAUUCUUUCUUUCAACAAAUGUGCUCACCCCAAGUGUCUACCACGUCAGGCACCACGCUGGAGAACCAGGGCUGCGAUGGAGAAACAGAACAUCUUUUUGCCCUCACUGGCGAGCAUCGCAUGGCACUGGGAUCUGAAGCAUGAGUCACGGGUGACUAGGCAAAAAUUAUGCAAAAUUCCAAGCAGAAGAGAUGGCCGAUUCUUACACAGAGGAAACACGAUGAAAGAAAGAAGGCCAGGUAAGACUGGAGAGAUGGCCAUUUUUUGGGAAUAUAAAACUGAUUCUGGCAAAGUGUUGAAGACUCACUUUUGCUGAGUGGAGACAUUUUAAAGCGCGCAAAAAUCAUUUAUAUUUCCUAACACUUAGAAUAAUAUAUCACUCUGUUAUAUGGCAUUGAUGUUAGCAUUGCAUCAACACCCUGAAUGGAUUUAGACUCUGAAUAAUAUGGUGUGAGCCUACUACAUAUGUGCUUUAAUACAAAAAUUUACUAUAAUGGCUUUUUACCAUGUUAAAUGUCAGCUUAUCCCUUGGAGAGAGAAUUGGGCAUAAUAAUAAAUAAUCUCAAUCCUAGCUUUCCAUGGCUAUGUUGCCUUGAAAUGUGACCUGAUUUCCUCUACGUCUUGACUUUCUAAUUUGUGAAAUAGAAUUAAUAAUAAUGUAAUGAUUAAAGGGUAUAAUUAAUAUAAGGUGCUAUUCACGGUAUAUUGUAUGUACUAAGCACUCAAUGAAUUCUAGUUCUGUGUCAGCUUCUAUUUUUAUACUUUCGCAGGCAGGAACUCGCCUCCCUAUCACCUAUUUCUUUUUAUUCUAUCUGUGAUGAAUCAUGUAGACUGAGCAUUUUUCUGUAUACUAAAACCUUGACAUUCACAGGGGGCACCGUGUCCAACAUCCCCUUGGCUACAGGGAACAAAGGGUAAGAAAGAGGCAUGGGCAGCCCUGAGGGGUCUUGGCCUCCCAAUUCUUGUACCUGCACAUGGCUUCUCCCUGGAACAAAUUUCAGCCAGAAGUCUUGGGUUUCUUGUAUAUUGCCUCAUUUUGCAACUGCAAACCAUGAAGCUUUAUUAACGUGUUUCCUGCUCACUCACCAUUGAGAAACAGUCUCUUAUAAAUCAUGUUUUUAAGAGUGCUGGGAGUUGCAGCGGCUCAGUCACGGGCUUUAGAUAUUCGUGUGCUGGCUCCCGGCCACAACUUGAACGGCACAGGACCCGUUACUCAGUAGCCGGUGCCUCAGUUUCUUCAUGUGUAAAAUGAAAGUAGUGGAUGCAUAUAGGAUGGUUGUGGAGAACAAUGAGAUAAGGCACACACAGUACUUAGUGUAGCUCCUGGCCCAUAAUAUCUCACUUCAGGCCACUGCAUUCACUAUUUUUUUAAUACAACGUCACUGUAGGAUUUGCUUGUUGGAAAUUUGUCUAGGUUUGAUCUCUGGCUAACGACCACCCUUCCAAACAGCAGGGUGCUACUCACAUCUGUGGUCUCAGAAAAUUGAAAGUUGACAUUUAGAGUUACUUGGAGGUAGAAGUGUUUAUCUGUGAACCCCCAAGGUAGGAGCUGACUUUAACUUAAUGAAACACAAAGAUUUGCAUUCAGGGCAACUGCACAGAUGGUGAGCACUUAAGGACACACCUGUGUCUCAUUCAUCCGGUUCCUCACUUGGAACCGCAGGCUAAGCACACAGCCACUGCCCUGUGAUUGUUCAGCGGAACCCCUCACGCCUUCCUUGCAAAGGAGCUGAGUGGAAGCCUGAAGGAAUCUGUCAAAGCUCUAAUAGUGCAGCUCCCACCUGCUCCGCACAGGCUACUCUUCCUACGGAUGCUGGAGAGGAAGUCCGGUGCAGUGGCUGGGAAGACCCCGGGCUCCGGAAACAGACUCCGUGGGCAUGAACCCUGACUGCCCCGUUUCCCAGCUGGGUCACUGGGGCAGUUUACCUACCGUCUCUGAGCCUCACAUUCCUCAUGUGUGAAAUGGGAAUAACAGCACCGACCAAGACUCUGGCAAUUAGUACACAGCUAAACCCAAAAGCAGCGCUGUGCGAGUACUAAUUACAACUCAGUUCAGGCUGCACCACAUGCACACAGGGCAGGGGACGGGAGGUUUUUGGCCAUGGAUCUAAGUGAAUGUGAGGCAGGUAAGGCCUACUCUCCCUUUUCCCAUCCUUUCCUUCUCCUCCCCAGCCCUUGCCUUCAACAAAAAUUGGCCCAUUUUCUUUGCAUCCCUAAACUAAGGUGACUUUUUUUAUAAUGAAGAAUUAUAGCCCCGCAUGACUCCCGCUGAAGGAGACACUUCGGCUGUCUCUGCCCAGUGAAGGCAGCAGAGCUGGUGGUCCAGGCUGUGUUCUCUCCAUCCUUGUGCUACUGGAACAGUGUCUCGCAUUCACAGAUUCCCUCCUUCACUCCUUCACUGAACACUGAUCGCCUAUGAGCUGAGCGGAACUGGUAUGAAAGCCGGAGGGGAAACAGAAACCACACUUGCCUUCAUGGAACUUAAGAGUCUAGGGGUGGCUGGUUGGGGCAGUUGCGUUAUAGUUGUUAAAAGUCAUGGUAGCAGAAGCACAGGCCACUGUCACAUGGUCACAGGGAAGAACACUUAACUGGGCUUGGGUGGGGAGGAAACUGUCCUCAUGCACGGGGAUGUCUAAUGGUUAAGAUGCAGCCAGACAGAGGCAGAAAGGGCGGAAGGGAACAUCUUCUUGGCAAAGAGAACAGUGUAAAGGGCCAGGGGAUGAGGAGGAGAGAGAGGACGGGGCCCCAGAAGGAUCUGUACGUGGCUGGACCUUAGCUAGUGACCAGAGAAGGAAGUGGGCUGCUCAGCGAUGUGGGUAAGGGCACGACCCCAGGGGUCUUCUCGCCAAGUUCUGGGUUCUGGGCCUCCCGUCAGGAACAAUGCAGUGCUAUUAAUUUGCUGGGAAGAGGAGAGGGAAUGGGAUAAAUUCUGUAACUAAAUCACAGAAGAAGUUAAGUUUUUUGAAGAGUAAAUCCCAGAUAUCAUUUCACCUAUAAAUACUUCACUAUGCAUCCCUAACAAUGAUGCCUUUCAAAAAAAAAAAAAAACCACAAGGCCAUUUUUCAUACCUUG